ensembl:lncRNA
CUGAGACUUCAGCCUGAUCUUGUCUGUCAACACUGAGACUACAGGCUGAUAUUGUCUGUCAACACUGAGACUACAGCCUGAUCUUGUCUGUCAACACUGAGACUACAGGCUGAUAUUGUCUGUCAACACUGAGACUACAGCCUGAUCUUGUCUGUCAACACUGAGACUACAGGCUGAUAUUGUCUGUCAACACUGAGACUACAGGCUGAUAUUGUCUGUCAACACUGAGACUUCAGCCUGAUCUUGUCUGUCAACACUGAGACUACAGCCUGAUAUUGUCUGUCAGCACUGAGACUACAUGCUGAUAUUGUCUGUCAGCACUGAGACUACAGCCUGAUCUUGUCUGUCAACACUGAGACUACAGCCUGAUCUUGUCUGUCAACACUGAGACUACAGGCUGAUAUUGUCUGUCAACACUGAGACUACAGCCUGAUCUUGUCUGUCAACACUGAGACUACAGGCUGAUCUUGUCUGUCAACACUGAGACUACAGCCUGAUAUUGUCUGUCAACACUGAGACUACAGGCUGAUGCAGUUGUGUUGCUCUACAGAACAUUGCACACUGACUGCCCAGGAACACUACUGAAGGAAGGCAGACAAGGACUAGAAUAAAAUACUGUGGUAAAAUACUGUAAUGACAUAGUGUAGUAUAAUAGUGUAAUACAACAGUGUAGUAUAAUAGUGUAAUACAACAGUGUAGUAUAAUAGUGUAGUAUAAUAGUGUAGUACAAUAGUGUAGUAUAAUAGUGUAAUACAAUAGUGUAGUAUAAUAGUGUAGUAUAAUAGUGUAAAUAGUAUAAAAAGUGUAGUCUCUCUCUCGCUCUCUCUCUCUCCCCCUAGCCCUCU